UACGUAGGGAGCGAGCGUUGUCCGGAAUUACUGGGUGUAAAGGGAGUGUAGGCGGGACGGCAAGUCAGAUGUGAAAUUUAGGGGCUCAACCCCUGACCUGCAUUUGAAACUGCUGUUCUUGAGUGAAGUAGAGGUAAGCGGAAUUCCUAGUGUAGCGGUGAAAUGCGUAGAUAUUAGGAGGAACAUCAGUGGCGAAGGCGGCUUACUGGGCUUUAACUGACGCUGAGGCUCGAAAGCGUGGGGAGCAAACAGG
rnacentral:rRNA from 1 species